rnacentral:rRNA from 1 species
AGUGAACGCUGGCGGUAGGCCUAACACAUGCAAGUCGAACGGCAGCACAGUAAGAGCUUGCUCUUACGGGUGGCGAGUGGCGGACGGGUGAGGAAUACAUCGGAAUCUACUUUUUCGUGGGGGAUAACGUAGGGAAACUUACGCUAAUACCGCAUACGACCUACGGGUGAAAGCAGGGGAUCUUCGGACCUUGCGCGAUUGAAUGAGCCGAUGUCGGAUUAGCUAGUUGGCGGGGUAAAGGCCCACCAAGGCGACGAUCCGUAGCUGGUCUGAGAGGAUGAUCAGCCACACUGGAACUGAGACACGGUCCAGACUCCUACGGGAGGCAGCAGUGGGGAAUAUUAGACAAUGGGCGCAAGCCUGAUCCAGCCAUACCGCGUGGGUGAAGAAGGCCUUCGGGUUGUAAAGCCCUUUUGUUGGGAAAGAAAAGCAGCAGGUUAAUACCCCGCUGUUCUGACGGUACCCAAAGAAUAAGCACCGGCUAGCUUCGUG